rnacentral:rRNA from 1 species
CCUACGGGUGGCAGCAGUGAGGAAUAUUGGUCAAUGGGCGAGAGCCUGAACCAGCCAAGUCGCGUGAAGGAUGAAGGCUCUAUGGUUUGUAAACUUCUUUUAUGUGGGAAUAAAGUGCGGCACGUGUGCCUUUUUGUAUGUACCAUAUGAAUAAGCAUCGGCUAACUCCGUGCCAGCAGCCGCGGUAAUACGGAGGGUGCGGGCGUUAUCCGGAUUCAUUGGGUUUAAAGGGUGCGUGGGCCGGCCGUUAAGCCUGCCGUGAAAUCGCGUGGCUCAACCAUGGCAGGGCGGCGGGAACGGGGGGGCUUGAGUGCGGCGAACGUAGGCGGAAUGCGCGGUGUAGCGGUGAAAUGCUUAGAUAUCGCGAAGAACCCCGAUUGCGAAGGCAGCAUGCGGUGGCGCGACUGACGCUGAAGCACGAAGGCGCGGGGAUCGAACAGGAUUAGAUACCCUUGUAGUC